GUUGACCUCGGAUCAGGUAGGGAUACCCGCUGAACUUAAGCAUAUCAAUAAGCGGAGGAAAAGAAACCAACAGGGAUUGCCCCAGUAACGGCGAGUGAAGCGGCAACAGCUCAAAUUUGAAAUCUGGCCCCGUUCCGGGGUCCGAGUUGUAAUUUGUAGAGGAUGCUUUCGGGCCSGSCCACGGUCUAAUUUGCUUGGAACAGCAGGUCAGAGAGGGUGAGAGUCCCGUCUGGGRAUCGCAGGCCGWUGUCCAUGUGAAGCUCCUUCGACGAAGUCGAGUUGUUUGGGAAUGCAGCUCUAAAUGGGUGGUAAAUUUCAUCUAAAGCUAAAUAUUGGCCAGAGACCGAUAGCGCACAAGUAGAGUGAUCGAAAGAUGAAAAGCACUUUGAAAAGAGAGUUAAACAGUAUGUGAAAUUGUUGAAAGGGAAGCGCUUGCAAUCAGACUUGCGGGUGGCGGUUCCCCCAACCUCUCCGGUUGGGCUACUCCGUCAUCUCCAGGCCAGCAUCGGUCUGGGGGKUCGGUUAAAGAUCCCGGGAAUGUACCUACCCUCCGGGGUCGACUUAUAGCCCCGGGGUGCAAUGCGGCCUCCCCGGGACCGAGGAACGCGCUUCGGCUCGGAUGCUGGCGUAAUGGUUUGUAAGCGGCCCGUCUUGAAACACGGACCAAGGAGUCUAACAUCUAUGCGAGUGUUUGGGUGUCAAACCCCUACGCGUAAUGAAAGUGAACGGAGGUAAGAACCCUCCCUCGGGGGGGCGCAUUAUCGACCGAUCCUGAUGUCUUCGGAUGGAUUUGAGUACGAGCAUAGCUGUUGGGACCCGAAAGAUGGUGAACUAUGCCUGAAUAGGGUGAAGCCAGAGGAAACUCUGGUGGAGGCUCGCAGCGGUUCUGACGUGCAAAUCGAUCGUCAAAUUUGGGCAUAGGGGCGAAAGACUAAUCGAACMAUCUGUAGCUGUUC
rnacentral:rRNA from 1 species